GUGGACGGUGAAUUGUCGCCAAGCUGUUCCCUUUGUCAUCCUGGGCCUCCGCAAGGUUGGCCGGUCUCGGAGAUACGGAGCUCA
rnacentral:miRNA from 1 species